UAUGCUAAGGUAGCAUAAUAAUUUGCUUNAUAAUUGAAAGAUAGAAUGAAUGGUAUUCCUAAAAGUAAUUAUUUUAUUUUUAAAUUUAAUUUUUUUAAAGUUGAAAAUUACUUUGUUUAUUUUUUAGACGAUAAGACCCUAUGAAGCUUUAUUAAUAAUAUAAAUUAUUAAAAUAAAAAUUAAUUUUUUUGGGGCAAAAAAAAAUUUUUUUAUUUUUUUCUAGUUAAAUUUUGAUCUUUAAGAAUUUUAAGAAAAAGCUACUCUAGGGAUAACAGCAUAAUUUU
rnacentral:rRNA from 1 species